UGUGCGUGUACAGCGCGGUCGGCGAUAGU
rnacentral:sRNA from 1 species